UGAGGAAUAUUGGUCAAUGGUCGCAAGACUGAACCAGCCAUGCCGCGUGCAGGAAGACGGUCCUAUGGAUUGUAAACUGCUUUUAUACAGGAAGAAACCCUCCCACGUGUGGGAGCUUGACGGUACUGUAGGAAUAAGGAUCGGCUAACUCCGUGCCAGCAGCCGCGGUAAUACGGAGGAUCCAAGCGUUAUCCGGAAUCAUUGGGUUUAAAGGGGUCCGUAGGCGGUCUUAUAAGUCAGUGGUGAAAGCCCAUCGCUCAACGAUGGAACUGCCAUUGAUACUGUAAGACUUGAAUGCUUAGGAAGUAACUAGAAUAUGUAGUGUAGCGGUGAAAUGCUUAGAUAUUACAUGGAAUACCAAUUGCGAAGGCAGGUUACUACUAAGUGAUUGACGCUGAUGGACGAAAGCGUGGGGAGCGAACAGGAUUAGAUACCCUGGUAGUCCACGCCGUAAACGAUGGAUACUAGCUGUUCGGCGCAAGUUGAGUGGCUAAGCGAAAGUGAUAAGUAUCCCACCUGGGGAGUACGCACGCAAGUGUGAAACUCAAAUGAAUUGACGGGGUCAUAGCUGUUUCCUG
rnacentral:rRNA from 1 species